AACGCAUAUUGCGCCCUCUAGUAUUCUAGGAGGCAUGCCUGUUCGAGCGUCAUUUCAACCCUCAGGCCUGGCCUGGCGUUGGGGUCUUAUAGCGUAUAAGCCCCGAAUAGCAGUGGCAGCAUCUCUGAGCGCCGAGCGUAGUAAUUGUUCUCGCUUAGGCGUCUCAGGCGAUACCUAGCCGUUAAGCCUCUUAUCUAAUGGUUGACCUCGGAUCAGGUAGGAAUACCCGCUGAACUUAA
rnacentral:misc_RNA from 1 species